rnacentral:lncRNA from 1 species
UUCAAAUCUGUAUUUAGACUUUCUGUAAUAAGAGAAAUCUAAUUUGUAACCAUUGAACUAAUGAUAUGGGUUUAUUUAAUUAUUGACAUCAUUAUAUGUUUUAGCUGACCAGACAGGGACUGUCUGGUCAUUGUCUUGUGCAGCUUGAGGACAGAAUUGUAAAGCUCCCCUCCUGUGUCGUGGAUGGGCUCUGACCUGUCCACGUAUGUAUGAGGUCUGAGGGGAGAAGUCCUUGGCGGAUUCUGAGAGGAAGGUGCGGUCACUGGAGGCUUUACUCAGCCGAAGUGACAUCGUUCCCAGCUGUGACCGUGGCAUAAAUGUGUGAUAGCUUCCUGAGGCCUGGGAUUGGCUCUGUGUUGCUCCUAGAGGACCGGGGCCCUGGUUGGCUGGGUGCAUUCAGAGCUCAGGGUCGGUCAUAGUGAAGUCAGGAGAGUCCUCCUGAGAGAGGAGAGGAGCUGAGGGUGGAGGCCGGCUGAGGAGGCUGCAGCCAGAGCCAAGUGCUGCAGGGGCUUCAGCCCAGGAGGGGGCUAGGUGUGUGUGUCCUUCGAGGCACUCAGCGUGGAACCAGGACCAAAAUUGGGCCGUGGCUGGGCCAGGAACUGGGGAAGUCAGGCUCCGCCUAGAUAUAGGGAGGGGUUGUAUGGAAGUCUGAGCCACCCAUAGGUGGAACUGGGUCACUGGAGGGGGCUCCAUGUCGCUGGAGGUGUGAGCAGUGGCUUGUCACCUUGGUGAGAGAGGGUUUCAGGAGUGGGUGGCUAGUGUACCUUACUUUUAAGCUCUUCCGACUGGCGGUCCCCUCCUCUGCUGCCCUCUUGGCUCGGGCUCUCUUCAGGUGAGCCGUGUCGUAGACCUGCAGCAGGCUCUCAGUCUGCCUGCCCAGUGCUUUCUGCUGGGCCUGUGAGGGACAGGGCUUCCCCGUGCCUGCCACGGGUAGGAGGGUGGCUCUGUUCUUGAACCUUCUGGAAAGCAGCACCUGGGAAUACUGCCAGUGCAGGAGUCCCACACGUGCUGGCAUAGCCUUCAGGCUGCACAGAGGCAAGGGUCCAGGACCGGGCCCAGCAAAGAGUGGGCGUCAGGCUCCUUUGCCCAGUGAAGCAAGCGUAGGGCUUGUUUCUGGGGGAUCAAAUCAUUUCUCCAGGGUCUCUCUAGAAGCAGUGGACUGAGUUGAUGCUCAUUGUUGGUCCUCGCCCAGACCUGGCCAGGGAGGUAGUGUGGGUGGGGAGGGGAUGAGCCAGGGAGUAGGGCCUCUCCUGCUCUGGCCCUGGAGUGUGCUGUGCGCCGGGUGGGUCUGCAGGGACCUGGGGCCUCAGCUCUUCCUUUGCAGAGGACACAUCGGCUUACUCUUUGUUCAGCCAGCCUUUGCUGAUUUUUUUGGCAUCCCCGCAACUUCAGGGUUUCAGCCUCUACUUUGAACCUUCAUAGCUGCCAAAUGUGAAUCUGAUAACAGUGGAGAUAGCUGACUCAGGCCAUUCCUUCUUGUUUGCAGUGACACUUGCCUAAAGCUCCCUUCUGCUUUUGUUGGCAAGAACAGGAAAGAGUAACUCUCCAUUGGAGCACUUUAUCAAGUCCGUUUCUAGGCCGCUGGGUGCCCGAGUCCUGUGUAGUGAGGAAAUGUGGUACUCAAGGAGGCUGCUGCCUGCUUGGCCUCGCGUCCUCCCCAGGACUCGGGGACCCCAGGGAGGGGCACGAUGGGCCAGUGGGAAGAGCUGAGUGUUUCCCCAGCCUGAUCCCAGGAGUGUCCCUACCGUCACCACUCCUGGGGUGCCUGCUGGCUGUGGAACAGAGUCCUGUGCUCUGGGCCUUGGCUGCUGUGGACAUUGGGCCAGGGUCAGGAUCAGGGUGGGGGUGGGGCAGUGUUGAUACCUCUGAGAAUUUGGCAACCUGUGUGGGGCUUUUGAAUAUAUUUCCAAAACCCACCAAUGUCACGCAUAUCUAUAUCUAUUCAUAUUACUUAUGUUAUUUAUAUAUUUAUUUAUUUAUGCCCUGUCUUGUUCCAGAAAAGGUUUAAGGCAGCAAUGCUUGGUUUUUGAUGUUCUCUUUUGACAUUUCAUAAAUUUUAGCCAACAUGCAGUUGUUAAACAGGUAAUUUUAAAAAGAAAGGACAAUUAGCAGUUUCCUCAUGUUGAAUAUGUUUCUGUUAUCAGGCUUAAGUGCCAUCAUUUUAAGUUUUCCUUUUUCCUUCUUCCAUGAAUUGUUUCUUCAGAUAAAAAGUUCAUGCACAAGUAGAAAUAGAGGAACAUGGAGCAAACAUCAGACUGAGCAAAGGAGAAUUUGCCUUAGAGAGAAGCGUUCUGUCUGUGCUCUGCUGCCUGCUGCCGCGUGGCCUCGGGCAGGUCCCGUUACAGUGCCGCGGCUUCCGGCUGUGCCUUCCCCACAGGUCUUCUGUGAGGACGCGUGAGAGAAUGUAUGUGGAAGCACUUUCUGCUUGAGUAAUCCUUGUGACAUGUAAACUGCUGUCAUCGUGACUGUUGUCCCUCUUCUCAGUGGAUGUGCAUUCGAGGCGAUGGCCGUGCUGGAGGAGCCUGUGACCUUGGAGAUGAGCUUUGACCUUGUUGCCCCAUGGGGCAGCGAGUGUCAUGGGGACCCACAACACAGGCAUUCGGGACAGAGGGCUCCGUGCAGGUCAGAAGUGUAAGGACACGUGAAAUAAUUUAUGAAGUCAAGUUCACUCAACUUCAAGGGUUGUCUUUUAUUCUGAGAUUAUGUCCUUCCUAAUUUGGGUGAUAAGAUGUCCUUUUAUGUAAUGAAGGUGGUAAUAGAGGGCAAUAUUUUUAUUUUUUAAAAUGUUCUUGAUUGCAAAACAACAUGUUGGCUCCCGUUCGUCAAGCCCCAGAAUUCCUUUUAAGUUUGCCAGUCUCUGAAAUCCCAGUGUCGGGGACCCACUCUCUAGCUAUAGUGUCUGUUUAUGUCAAGAUGAGAAGCUCCUCUUGGAUUCUUAAACCAGCUGGCACAGUGUUGAAGGGUAUCGCAGCACUCCUGCUGCCUGGUAGUCCGAGCACAAGCUCUGAGGUCACUGUGUGGUGUUAGGAACUGUGGGCUUGUGUCCUGGGGAGGAUGGAGCAAACGUCCCUGUGGUGAGCGGCCUCUGGCCACUCCUGAAUCCAUGAGAAACAUUCCCAGGAAGUUUGUGGGGCCUUCUCGGCUGGACACCUGCAGUACCCCAUACGCUGGCCUUGGUGCUAGUGGUGGGUCUUCUGGCGCUGGGGCUGUAGGCUCCUGGUCCUGUAUCUUUGGCUGCCUGCCAGGCACUCAGUAACCAUCCUCAGUGGUCUGGACUCCCUGCCGGCUUGGAUCUCCCUCCUGGCAGUGCCUCAUUUGGACACGUGACCUUCUCUUUCUCCCUGGCUCAGGCCUCACUUCCCUCCUCCCUCACUCCCCCCGACCUGACUCCCUUGGUGGCGAUUAAAGUAACUGAUAGGCGUGCAUCAGUGGUUAUUGGGAUCAUGUCCCAGGAGAAGGCCAUGGGAGGGACGUGCAGAUUGUGAAGUGCAGUGAUGUGCUGAAUACAUACUAUACGUUCUAGGCAGAUAAUCAGAUGGGGAAGUGGGUGGGGAGGGGUGACUUUCGUUGCCUUAACAUGUAAUUGCUCAGUGUCCGGAAUGCAUGGUCGUCUCUUCUUUUUUUAAAUUGCUUUAUUUUCAGAUCUCUUAGGUGUACCAAGUGAUGUACGAAUGUGCAUAGAUCCAGUCUGAGUGUGGCAGUGAUGGACACAGCUCUCGUGUGUAUAAAGUCACAGUCUGUGGCUGUAAUUAGCCAGCAGUGCCCCUUUUCUGCCCUGCAGUGUUUGCACCGCUCCCAUGGCUUCUGCUUGGUGUUGGGCGCACAAGGUGUGACAGGCACAUGUGCCUGUGCCUGGAGACGUGCUGAAGAGAAUGCUCACCGUCGACCCUCAGUUUCUCCUUUCGGCUUCAGUACUGAAUGUGUGUGUGCCCACAGGAGCGGGGACUGUGGCUGUUCCUGCACUCGUGCGUGGUUAAGAGCUUUCAAAAAUAUGAUGGACAUCUUUGAUAUGUUAUUGUAACUUUAAUAAAUGCUUUAUGCCCCUUUAAUUCCCCCCAAAUGCCUUAAUUUUGUGGACUCUUUAUCUUAAUGGGUAGAAGAAUUGGUCAUGUGAAAUCUUGGUAUGCACAUUUCAGGUAGAAGAGACUGGCUCUCUGGAAAGUUUCUAAUGAUUUGGAUAGAAGGACUUAUCUAAAACAGGGGUUUUGAAGCGCUCUGGGGGACCCUGGCACUCUAAGGGAGGCACCCAAAUUGUCACACGGGUUUAAACUGCCCAGGAGCCUGUUUUACUUCGUGGGUCUCUGGUUUGCAGAGCGCGUGUCCCUAGAAGUGUUUCUAACCCACGGCUUUCAGGUGAGGCGGCAUCGUCUCUGCCGCGCUCUGCGGGUGGGGAGGUGGGAUGGACUGGGCAAGACCAUUGUGUCUGGGCCCCUGUUGUAUGCCACUUAUUCUGACGGUGGGAGGGUGAGGUGUGAAGCUUUGGGAUGGACCCAGGAAUGAAUGAAAUAAAGACAUUUUUUCG